UACGUAGGGGGCAAGCGUUGUCCGGAAUCAUUGGGCGUAAAGCGCGUGUAGGCGGCUCGAUAAGUCCGCUCUGAAAGUCCAGGGCUCAACCCUGGGAUGCGGGUGGAUACUGUCGGGCUCGAGUCCGGAAGAGGCGAGUGGAAUUCCCGGUGUAGCGGUGAAAUGCGUAGAUAUCGGGAAGAACACCAGUGGCGAAGGCGCUCUACUGGGCCACAACUGACGCUGAGGGACGAAAGCUAGGGGAGCGAAUGGG
rnacentral:rRNA from 1 species